AACGAACGCUGGCGGCGUGCCUAAGACAUGCAAGUCGUACGGUAAGGCACCUUCGGGUGCACACGAGUGGCGCACGGGUGGGUAACGCGUGGGUAAUCUGCCCUCAGGUCGGGGACAACUUCGGGAAACUGGAGCUAAUACCGGAUGAGCCCACGAGGUCUUCGGACCUCGCGGGAAAAGGUGGCCUCUCCUUGGAAGCUACCGCCAGGGGAUGAGCCCGCGUCCCAUUAGUUUGUUGGUGAGGUAACGGCUCACCAAGGCGACGAUGGGUAGCUGGUCUGAGAGGAUGAUCAGCCACACUGGAACUGAGACACGGUCCAGACUCCUACGGGAGGCAGCAGUCGGGAAUUUUGGGCAAUGGGCGCAAGCCUGACCCAGCAACGCCGCGUGAGGGAUGAAGGCCUUCGGGUCGUAAACCUCUGUCGGGAGGGAAGAACGUUCUCCGGGUGAAUAAUCCGGGGAGCUGACGGUACCUCCAAAGGAAGCACCGGCUAACUCCGUG
rnacentral:rRNA from 1 species